UACGUAGGGUGCAAGCGUUGUCCGGAAUUAUUGGGCGUAAAGAGCUUGUAGGCGGUUUGUCGCGUCUGCUGUGAAAAUCCGGGGCUCAACCCCGGACUUGCAGUGGGUACGGGCAGACUAGAGUGUGGUAGGGGAGACUGGAAUUCCUGGUGUAGCGGUGAAAUGCGCAGAUAUCAGGAGGAACACCGAUGGCGAAGGCGGGUCUCUGGGCCGAUACUGACGCUGAGGAGCGAAAGCGUGGGGAGCGAACAGG
rnacentral:rRNA from 1 species